rnacentral:lncRNA from 1 species
CUUGAAUUAAUAAAUUUAUAAAUACAUAAAAAAAAUUAGAGAUGCCGAUCGAGUAGCAUGUUGGAAGUGUUCUAGAGUGCCUAAGGAGGGUUAUUGUGUGGCAUGAUAAGCAACCUCAUUAGGACUGUUAGUGCUCCAAAGGAGAAAAUAUAUCAAUCCGUCUUGAGGUGCAAUGACUUAAUAUUGUUAUGUGAUAAUAGGACACAUCGAUAAAAGAUGAAACAAACAACAUAUAAAUGCUUGGACUACCUCUCUUGAAAAGGUCGAUGUUUUAAUAUGAAAUCCAAAUUCUUAAUAUGGUUUCAAUACCCAUUGAGUGACAUACGAUUUGCACAUGUCUUGUCAUUCUAUUGACUUGUUCUCGAACACCAUGCUUCUCGCCAUUCUAUUGACUUGUCCUUGAACACCAUGUGGAUUUCACCGGUAUUGCAAGGGAGAUUGCUUACAUGGGCCAUUGGGUGAUUGCUGCACCCCAACUAACUGAGAAAAAAAGUAAAAUUAAAUCAUUGUGAUUGCCCAAGAGAACUGCCUAUUGAUGAGGAAUAAAGCAUGCUACGAAUUUUAUUGAAAGGAGUCAUUGGAAUUGGAGAAAAGCCUCCACCAGUACCAGAUAUUUUAUGAAGAUGAAGGUAAGAGCACAAAGAGAGCAAGACACCAAAAACAAAACGAGCCCGUGAAAGGAAUGCUUUUGAAAGAACUAAGUGAUGGUUCUUCUAUUUACAAAUCCAUGGCUCAUAAUUUCUGCAAGAUGAGCAUAGAUAGUCCUUUGCUGGACAAUCUCUUUAAACAAACUUGUGGAGAUACUAGGACAAUUCAGCACAAAAGAAUAUUAUGAAAUUCCCAUCGUGCACAAAUAAUGUCUCAUGUCCUUCAAAAACCUCAGGUAUUUAAUUGUGCAUCAAUUAAAGACAAAUAAAUAACAUACAGGACUUGAGCAAUUGCUUAUAAAAAUGCUGAACUUAUUCUUAAUAUGGUAUCAAAGCUAGGGGAAUGACACACGUCUUGCACAUGAGAGUCUCACCAUCUAUUGAUUUAUUUUAGCACAACAUGCAAACUCCAUUGACGUCUCAUAGGAGGUUGUUGAUGUGAGCCAUUGGGUGAUUUCUGCAACCUUACUAAUGAAUGGAGAUUGAGAAAUUAAGUUAAGAGAAACCACGGUGAUUGCACAAGAGAGCUGUGCGUUGUUGAGGAAAUAUACUAAUAUUAGUGAAAGAUAAAAGAGUUAUGCCCCGGAAUUUCUUUGGAUUUGAAAAAAGUCUCUACUAAAAGUGGAAAAGAAAUAGACUUUUACCACGAUGUGUAAGAGAAGAAGAGAGCAAGACGCCAUAAAUGAAGUGAGUCUAUGAAAGAAAGGCUUUUAAAAGAAUUUAGCUUCCUCAUCUGCUGGGAAGUAUUGGUUCUUCCACUUACAACUCCGUGUGCUCUUAACUUCUGAAAGGUGUGCAUGGAGAAUGCAUUUUCUGGCCAAUCUUCCAUAAAACAGAGGACAUGUGAAGGUACAAGGAAACUCUAAGCGCAAAAAUUUUUUAUGAAAUGUCCGUAUGCAUAAAGGAUAUAUCUAAUAUCAUUGAGAAGCCUCACAUCUUUAUUUACACAUCGGCCAAAGAUGAAACAAAUAAACAGCAUAUUAGCUACUUCUGACACAACCCAUCCCGAAUCACCUUUGAUUCGACACGUGUUGUGUGCCAAUGGUAGAUUCCAGCUAAAUGCCGGACCCACUACCAAUGCAACGUUGACUUGCUUUGACUGUGAAAUAUUUUAAAAGAAUUUUGAUAGGGUCACCUCUAAAAUAUGGAUUAAAACCACCUAAUCAACACCCAAUUUUCUCAAGUCCGUUCAUAUAAUGUAAAAUAUGAUACUCCAGUAUCUCAAAAUACUAACUAUUCAAAAAUAAAAUACUGACAAAUCGAUAUUUACUUUGCUCUACAACCAAAACUCCUCAAAUGUACUAAAGAUAUCAAAUAUGUAGUCAGCCUAUGAUGACCUUUUCUGACCUAAACUACAUGUAACCCACAAGAAACAUGUACUGUGUAAUCUAAUAACGUAGGCCAUACAACUUAUGGCGCGUGGCUCAAUUUGGUGGAUCGACAGGCUCCAAAUCUACUCAACUCGGCUGCUAUCUGUUAAAUAAAAAUGUGAAAAGAUAUAUAAACUUAUAGCUCAGUGAGUGGAUAAUUUGCAAAUAAAUAUACUUUUUCUUUUAUGCAUAUUUUCUGAAAAUUCUUACUCUAUUAAAUUUUGAAAAAUUCUGAAAUUUGGUAACACUUUUAAAA